GAUGAACGCUGGCGGCGUGCCUAAUACAUGCAAGUCGAGCGAACGGACGAGAAGCUUGCUUCUCUGAUGUUAGCGGCGGACGGGUGAGUAACACGUGGAUAGCCUACCUAUAAGACUGGGAUAACUUCGGGAAACCGUAGCUAAUACCGGAUAAUAUUUUGAACCGCAUGGUUCAAAAGUGAAAGACGGUCUUGCUGUCACUUAUAGAUGGAUCCGCGCUGCAUUAGCUAGUUGGUAAGGUAACGGCUUACCAAGGCAACGAUGCAUAGCCGACCUGAGAGGGUGAUCGGCCACACUGGAACUGGGACACGGUCCAGACUCCUACGGGAGGCAGCAGUAGGGAAUCUUCCGCAAUGGGCGAAAGCCUGACGGAGCAACGCCGCGUGAGUGAUGAAGGUCUUCGGAUCGUAAAACUCUGUUAUUAGGGAAGAACAUAUGUGUAAGUAACUGUGCACAUCUUGACGGUACCUAAUCAGAAAGCCACGGCUAACUACG
rnacentral:rRNA from 1 species